CGCCUCUGUGUUGCCAGUCCACCUUGCAAGUGGUGGACUUCGGUGUCAAACGAGGCAGAAAGAAAAGCCCCGGUAGGUCCACCUGCCCAAGACCUGCCCGAGGUCACGGGGCCGGAACUGCCCGGGAACAGGC